GAUGAACGCUGGCGGCGUGCCUAAUACAUGCAAGUCGAGCGAACAGAUGAGGAGCUUGCUCCUCUGACGUUAGCGGCGGACGGGUGAGUAACACGUGGAUAACCUACCUAUAAGACUGGGAUAACUUCGGGAAACCGGAGCUAAUACCGGAUAAUAUAUUGAACCGCAUGGUUCAAUAGUGAAAGACGGUUUUGCUGUCACUUCUAGAUGGAUCCGCGCCGCAUUAGCUAGUUGGUAAGGUAACGGCUUACCAAGGCAACGAUGCGUAGCCGACCUGAGAGGGGGAUCGCCCACACUGGAGCUGAGACACGGUCCAGACGCCUACGGGAGGCAGCAGUAGGGAAUCUGCCGCAAUGGGCGAAAGCCUGACGGAGCAACGCCGCGUGAGUGAUAAAGGUCUUCGGAUCGUAAAACUCGGUUAUGAGGGAAGAACAAAUGUGUAAGUAACUAUGCACGUCUUGACGGUACCUAAUCAGAAAGCCACGGCUAACUACGUG
rnacentral:rRNA from 1 species